UUCAGAAGCUGGAGGCGGAGCUGGCUCUUCUGCUGGAUGCUGUGGAGGCCCCUGAGUGGAGCCCCCUGCUGGACAAACCACUAAUUGACAUACUGGACGAGCCGCCGGCUCCUGACUCGUGAGAACAUGAUGAUCAUCAGAAAGAAUGCAGCAGUUCUUUGCCUUUUUGACACCAAUCCCCUCACUGUCCACAGCAGCAUUCACAGGCCGCCCCGUGGUUGAAUAUGAUCCAGACAUUUCUUCACAAGAUCACAUGCAACAAUAACGGGACAGAGCGGAUCAUUCAGAUUCAUUCUGAUCCUAUAAUGGGUCAAAACAGGGUUUAUUUUUAAGCUUUUCACAGUAAAAAUUUAAUUAAUCAUUUAUACCAUUUUACUGCAUGUCAGUGGUUUAUUCCAGCGUUUGUUUAGAACUGUAUUAUAACUGAUGAUUUAAGGAACCACUGAUGAGAGCUGAUGAUCUUCACUUGAUCAAUCAUUGUAUGCAUGUGAAUGUACAAAAACACAUAACAUUGUUACAGUGUACAUGAUUUUAUCAGGGUUCUUUUUACUUCAUUAAAUCCAGUUUGCCUGUUCAGACUCCCAGCAUGCAUUGCUCAUGUGCGGUCGCUUUUGUUGUUAGUUAGUUUUAGUUUAAUUUGUUUUGUUGUGUUCAGAGUUUGUAUUUUUGUUUUAAUACACUGCAUCUCACUAGUCUCUCUAUGCUAGAAUAACUGUCAUAAAAUCAUUUUCACAUUAUGAACUGACUGAUUCAUGUUGUCAUGAAUAUGCGCUGACUUGGAAUGUGUUAAUAAACUAAAUAAAAAAUAACCGAUUUUUGACAUCCAACCUAAA